GAUGAACGCUGGCGGCGUGCCUAAUACAUGCAAGUCGAGCGAAAAGACGAGGAGCUUGCUCCUCUGCCGUUAGCGGCGGACGGGUGAGUAACAAGUGGAUAACAUACCUAUAAGACUGGGAUAACUUCGGGAAACAGGAGCUACUACCGGAUAAUAUAUUGAACCGCAUGGUUCAAUAGUGAAAGACGGUUUUGCUGUCACUUAUAGAUGGAUCCGCGCCGCAUUAGCUAGUUGGUAAGGUAACGGCUUACCAAGGCAACGAUGCGUAGCUGACCUGAGAGGAUGAUCGGCCACACUGGAACUGAGACACGGUCCAGACUCCUACGGGAGGCAGCAGUAGGGAAUCUUCCGCAAUGGGCGAAAGCCUGACGCAGCAACACCGCGUGAGUGAUGAAGGUCUUCGGAUCGUAAAACUCUGUUAUUAGGGAAGAACAAAUGUGUAAGUAACUAUGCACGUCUUGACGGUACCUAAUCAGAAAGCCACGGCUAACUACGUG
rnacentral:rRNA from 1 species